UACGUAGGGGGCAAGCGUUGUUCGGAAUUACUGGGCGUAAAGGGCGCGUAGGCGGCACAGCAAGUCGGGAGUGAAAGCCCGGGGCUCAACCCCGGAACUGCUUUCGAAACUGCUGAGCUAGAGUUCGGUAGGGGAGACUGGAAUUCCUGGUGUAGCGGUGAAAUGCGCAGAUAUCAGGAGGAACACCGAUGGCGAAGGCAGGUCUCUGGGCCACUACUGACGCUGAGAAGCGAAAGCAUGGGGAGCGAACAGG
rnacentral:rRNA from 1 species